CCUACGGGGUGCAGCAGUGAGGAAUAUUGGUCAAUGGACGAGAGUCUGAACCAGCCAAGUAGCGUGAAGGAUGACUGCCCUAUGGGUUGUAAACUUCUUUUAUAUGGGAAUAAAAUGUUCCACGUGUGGGAUUUUGUAUGUACCAUAUGAAUAAGGAUCGGCUAACUCCGUGCCAGCAGCCGCGGUAAUACGGAGGAUCCGAGCGUUAUCCGGAUUUAUUGGGUUUAAAGGGAGCGUAGGGGGAUUGUUAAGUCAGUUGUGAAAGUUUGCGGCUCAACCGUAAAAUUGCAGUUGAAACUGGCAGUCUUGAGUACAGUAGAGGUGGGCGGAAUUCGUGGUGUAGCGGUGAAAUGCUUAGAUAUCACGAAGAACUCCGAUUGCGAAGGCAGUUCACUGGACUGCAACUGACACUGAGGCUCGAAAGUGUGGGUAUCAAACAGGAUUAGAUACCCGGGUAGUC
rnacentral:rRNA from 1 species